rnacentral:rRNA from 1 species
AUUCCAGCUCCGAUAGCGUAUAUUAAAGUUGUUGCAGUUAAAAAGCUCGUAGUUGAACUUUGGGCCUGGGCGGACGGUCUACCUAUGGUAAGCACUGUUGCGGCCGGGUCUUUCCUUCUGGCUAGCCCUCGGGCGAACCAGGACGAUUACUUUGAGGAAAUUAGAGUGUUCAAAGCAGGCCUUUGCUCGGAUAUAUUAGCAUGGAAUAAUAGAAUAGGACGCAUGGUUCUAUUUUGUUGGUUUCUAGGACCAUCGUAAUGAUUAAUAGGGACGGUCGGGGGCAUCAGUAUUCAGUCGUCAGAGGUGAAAUUCUUGGAUUGACUGAAGACUAACUACUGCGAAAGCAUUUGCCAAGGACGUUUUCAUUG